rnacentral:tRNA from 1 species
UACCGCUGCGGCGCGGUAUGAGCCGGCAGAUCUACGUGGUCUGGCGGGCGGACGCGGACCGCCGCCCGUCCAUCCGGGCGGCGGUGG